ensembl:lncRNA
AAAGGUAGUUUGCUAGAGAUCUCUGUGUAUUUAAGGCUUUCUGAAGGUUAUCUGUUGGCACCUCCCAGAGUAAGUUGGGAUUGAACCACCUGAGAGGUAAUGCUGAUGGUCAUCUGAUGUCAACUGCGACCUGGAUCAGCCCAGAACAUGGAAACCUGCAAGUAUAAAUGGGCACCUAUGAAGAUGUGGCCUGGCACAAAAGCUACCUCUGAGGAGUAACUACAAGCUGCAAGCUAGGCGUAUACAAGCUAAUUUCAGCCUUUGGAUACAAAGAUUUGUACUGCUUUGUGUCAUUGCCUGUUAGAGGUCCUCUCUAAUCCCAUUCAGCCACUCUACCUCCAGAUGGAUAAGCAACCCCCCACGGGCAAAGCGUGGCGAUCCUGGACUUACCCGAUAUCUGUGGAGUCACCGAGCCUCCUGACAACAACCUGGGGCGAGGAUGCUUGUUUGAUUUUCCACUAUUCACCUCGGUUGGUGAACUGGAUGACAAGAAAUGUUUUCUGGUUCCUGACUGUAACUGUGUUAAACAAGACAGAAAAGAAGCAGAAUUGGAGACACACAAUAACAAUUCACAACAAUGAAUAAGAAACAGUGAAUGGAAAGUUAGGCAUUCAUACGGACAGCCUCAGAGGCACUUCUUGCGUUUAUUUUGGUGCUUCUGUCUUUUCAUUUUAAAAGGUAGAUGUCAGUUUUGCUCUUCCAAAUAUGUUGUCUAUUUUAUAUUUCGAGGUGUGGAAUUUGCAUAUACCUUGUCAGGAAUGUACUACAGAAGUCCUAAAUAAUUGAGUAUCUUUGCGUAGUCAGUGUUUGGAAACUGAAUUAUAUAGUUGAUAGCUUCACAAGCUGAAGGAAGAAAAUAAGGGAUUAAAUACAUCCAACCAGUUACAUGGUUCCACUUUUUGUAACCAGAAUUAAUCGUUAGCUAAUGAGAGCUGAUGCUGGGAUUUCAGAUGCUGGGCAGUGACGCAUUUGGUGAGUGCAUUUGUGCUACCUGUUGAAUAAAACACUGAACUCAGGAAGGUUUUGGGGUACAAGAAGAAAGAUUGAAAAGGAUCACGCAAUCUGCAGUUAUAAUAAAUGUGUCUAUGCAU